rnacentral:other from 1 species
AAACCCCUGCCGUGUUCGUGAUCGGUAGAAGUUUCUUUGAGCCAACACAUAUGAAACGGGAACUUUCUCUUGCUUUGGUGUGCAUGUUCUGUUCUUUACAGAAAAGCCUAAAGAAGCAACA